rnacentral:lncRNA from 1 species
CGGGACCUGAGAUCGGCCGGGAGUGGGGCUGCGAUGACGCUGGGCCGAGAAAGCCCCAGUCUUUGGUGAAGUCAAGGAUUCGAGUCAGCUGAAGUGGUGUGCUUGGGUCGCUGUCUACUGCUCCUUCAUCAGCUUUGCCAACUCUCGGAGCUCGGAGGACACGAAGCAAAUGAUGAGUAGCUUCAUGCUGUCCAUCUCUGCCGUGGUGAUGUCCUAUCUGCAGAAUCCUCAGCCCAUGACGCCCCCAUGGUGAUACCAGCCUAGAAGGGUCACAUUUUGGACCCUGUCUAUCCACUAGGCCUGGGCUUUGGCUGCUAAACCUGCUGCCUUCAGCUGCCAUCCUGGACUUCCCUGAAUGAGGCCGUCUCGGUGCCCCCAGCUGGAUAGAGGGAACCUGGCCCUUUCCUAGGGAACACCCUAGGCUUACCCCUCCUGCCUCCCUUCCCCUGCCUGCUGCUGGGGGAGAUGCUGUCCAUGUUUCUAGGGGUAUUCAUUUGCUUUCUCGUUGAAACCUGUUGUUAAUAAAGUUUUUCACUC